rnacentral:tmRNA from 3 species
GGGGCUGUAAAGGAUUCGACGGGAACUUUAACAACCAAAUUUGCAAGCGGAAGUCUCUGCCUUAGAGGACAAAAAAAUUACGUGCAAACGUAUUAGCGAAAACUCGAACUGCUGUAGCAAACGCGUUUGGCAGUUUUAGUCCAGCUUACGCCGUCGCCUAAAAAACGUUCGGCCGUUUCAAUCCUUGACUCCGAUGGAGGAUUGAGGCGUCAUAUUAUCGGGUGCCUGUUCAAGAGGCAUCGCUUGAACAUUAAGAUAUAGAUGCUGGAAGUUGCGGUGUUUCGUUUGUUUAGAGCCACAAUUUCAAGACAACAAAGCAAACUAAGCUUGUAGAUGAUUUGGUUCGUUUGUUUUCGGACGCGGGUUCAACUCCCGCCAGCUCCACUC